UACAGAGGGUGCAAACGUUGUUCGGAAUUACUGGGCGUAAAGCGCGUGCAGGCGGCCUUGCAAGUCGGACGUGAAAUCCCACGGCUCAACCGUGGAAGUGCAUUCGAAACUGCGAGGCUGGAGUCCUGGAGAGGAAAGUGGAAUACUCGGUGUAGAGGUGAAAUUCGUAGAUAUCGAGUGGAACACCGGUGGCGAAGGCGGCUUGCUGGACAGGUACUGACGCUGAGACGCGAAAGCGUGGGGAGCAAACAGG
rnacentral:rRNA from 1 species